ensembl:snRNA U6 U6 spliceosomal RNA
UCGCUUUGGCAGCACACAUACUAAAAUUGAAAUGAUAUAAAGAUGAUUAACGGGGCCUUUGCUCAAGGAUGACAUGCAAAUUUGUGAAGCGUUCCACUUAAAA